rnacentral:lncRNA from 1 species
AGAGAGGCUGAGGCGCCCACCACCGAAGCGUAAGCCAGCAAUGGAUCGGUACGCGGUACUGGUAGAUCUAUACGAUUGUCAGUGAGUCUCUCCUGAUCAAAGUCAAUGAUGUUGUUAAUUUUGUUGAUAUUAUUAAUUAAUGCUAUAUGUUUCUGUGUUGGUCAAUCUUCUUGCCAGUUCAGUAGAUGCUUUACAGGAAUAAUGUCUCUCAUCAAACAGAACAAACGAACAAACCCACCGCUGCUUUAAUUCCAAAUCCAUUUAAUACCACCGCUGAAGCUACCUGCCUUCUCUCUCAUCAUGUAUAUCUGCCACCACCGCUUCUUCAACAUGCUUCUCUGUUCUCUCCCUUUGGCCUGUCAGACUUCCAUCCAUACACCCAUACUCUAUCUGUACAUCCACAUGUGGGACCAAUUACAUAUGAACACUCUCUCACACACACACA